rnacentral:lncRNA from 1 species
CGGAACACUUUGACAAGCUUAUUAGGUCCAUUUUCUCUAUCUCCCGGCGCCUUGUUCAACAAUACAUAAAUCCGAUAGUAAUACAGCACCGUUACUGUUUGUCCAAUUGACAAAUGUCAGUUUGUUGGGUUAAGUGGCGUGUAAGCUAUGGCCUGGGUUAACGCGCAGCUAUGAACAAUAGUUUUAUUUAUGUCCGCCAUUUUAGAAACAACAAUAAAUUAAUAAAUUUAAAACGUUAUUCAUUUAACAAGAUAAAGCGAACAAACUUCUAUAUUUGGACUUACUGCAAUAAGGUCAUGGUCAUAGUUAACGAACAGCGAGCUCUUGUCCAAACACCGAACGUUUUAUUUUGUUGGCAUAUCCUUGUGUUGACCGCAGUGUUCAAACAAAGGGCUGAUCUCUUUACCCUACAAGGAAUACCACUCUCAUUUCACCUUGGCACGGGAAGGGACGUAAGAAUAUGUUUCUGCUCAAGAGACGCGAGGCGUUGAGUUGAGCAGCCAUUCAUUACAAGCGGAUCUCGGCUGAUUCACGCCCAGCCAAACAUGCAGCAGCUUGUGUUGUACCAUUUGUGCGCUAUUGUGCACUUCGACGAACGAGAGAUUAAAUCAUAAGAUGUCUUUUCACAACUCAUCGCCCCACACGCAAAUAGACUAGUUGCAUUAUUAAGAAAUAUAAAUGAUUUUUUGCAGAGUGAACUUGAACUUUUAUGUCAUGAUAUACAAAGAGGUCGAACGCCUCGCCAAAGCGGCCUAUCUCGUUUAUUUGAUAACCUUUGACAAAGCGGCAAUGAAUGGCGAAACCGACGUGAAAGAACUAGUCCGUGAGCAAUAUUUCAUGAGGGAUUCCAGAUAAGACAUCACAAAAAGCACAAUGUCACAACUUGCUCCCCGUGCCGCGGAAAGUUUUGCAAGGAGACUGGUAAGUUGCUACAUUGUUGGAGAUGCCAGGGUUUGUAUUCCUUUCCUUUGGCCAAAGGCGAAGGCCAGUGUUGGGAUAUAACAGCAACGGCACCAUCCAUAAAUGUUGCUCGUACUCAUAAAGCAAGUUCUCUUCGAAAUAUUGUGUGCAUAUGUCAAAGCCGAUUAAAAGUGCCGAAACCGCGGCGCCGCCGCAAUCUCUCCGCGUAAAGUAACUCAAGAUCGAAGCGUGGGAGUGAAUAAUUUACAUUCUUACCAAUCUAGGUCGUUUCUCAGAGCCUAGUUAGGGCGAGAAUUAUGCUGUAACAGAGCCCGAGGCCGCUCACGGACGGAUGAAAACAGAAAUGCUGGUCUUCGUGCUACCAUUUUCUAGAAAAUUGCAUUUCCUUAGUGAAAGUUGGUUAAUGAUGGGGCGCAGGAUUCGUGCCAAUCUAAGCAAGGGCGGUAUUGCACAAGCCGGCCAAUGGUACUACGAAGCUUUCAACUUUCUAAUGUUUAUAUAUAAUGUGGUUGAAGGGAAACUGACGGGCACAUCUUACUCUGCUAAUUGCUCGCAAGGCGCCUCUUGUCAUUCCAAAGCUUUCUAUAUAAUGAAUGCAUUGAAUAAAUAUGUAAUAAACUAAUUUCAACCGAA